GCCUGAGGGGCCGAACUGCGCAUGUGUAUCCUUCGGUUUUCCUAGCCUCGGAAAAGCGCUUCAGAGCAGACCACGCCCACCUCACGUAAGGGAGCGGGAGGAGCCGCUGGUGGGAAGGGAGCGAACUCCGGCUGCAUCAGCUGAUCCGGAGCCUGAAGCGCCUUGCAGCCAUUUUGGUUACUGGUACCUCCACAACUGCUGACCGUUUCUCCAGGAUCCCGAAAAUUAAGAUGUCCAUAGUACCUCUAAGUUUUCCGAUUAAGGGACCUCUGGCCAACGGGUUCAAGCAGAGAAGUGAAACUACCAGAGUAGAGGUAGAGAUAUAUGAAGAGAUAUACGAACAUAUAAGAUAUAUGAAGAUAUAAGAAGAGAUAUAUGAAGAAAUCUGUCACAGAGGUUUGACCCUACAAAAUUUGGGAAUGUGGUUAAACUGUCUCUGUAAGGCUGUUACUUUUGGAUCCGUGGCUGGAGCUUGAAGUCCACAAGGCAGGGAGUCACGAAGGGAAGAUAGAGGAGACUCACGACAAGUUGGAAUGCAGAAGCACAAGCCAUGGUCACGGGGACCUCCUGAAACAAAAGCUAUCUUCUGCUGCCCCUGACCCUGACAUCCUGCAGAAGCCAGAGUCCUUUGUUCCAGAAUUAAAAACACAUUUGACUCAAGAGUCAAAACUGAAAGGAGGAUCUGGCAGAAGACCGAGCAACUUGCCCUCUCUGGCUUUCUGGCCUGGCUGCUGCCACAUGCCACGGAGGUGAACCAGAAGAUAAGCAACAAUAUACGCGAGCUACAAAGUGACUCCUGUAUCACUCCUGUAAAUCUCACACAAGAAUCUCUUUUGUGACCCACCCCAGCCAGAAACACAUAAAAGGGAAUUCCAGGAAAAGGCUGCUGGGGAUGAGUUUAUCGUUGUGUGGUGCCAGCCAGAAAAACACUAUUUUCUCACUGGAAUUCAUAUGAGGUCAUUUACCCUUAAAAGGUAUGACACAGAACCCACCAGAGCCAACAGGUUCUGACAGAUGCAGCUCACUAACUUGCCUUUUCAGUUUUUAGGUCAGUAACAGCCCUCUUCUCCCUUUAACUGAUGUUAAUUUCCCCCAUCCAGACUCUCAAUGCUUUGGAGACGUCACAUUGUAAGGUCAGUCCUGAUGGUAACCUGGCUCUGACCUCAUAUACUGGUUCUAGUAACUAAGUUUCUCCAGCCUGGGUUCUGAAACCAAGUCUUUUACCUUGCCUACCUUCAGUAAAAGGGACAUAUUUGUUUGGAUUAC